rnacentral:lncRNA from 1 species
UUUUUGUUUUUGUUUUUGUUUUUUUUUAAAUAAUUUUAAUUUUUAUUGAAGAUAGUUUUUUUUUCAUAUAAUACAUUCUGAUCACAGUUCUCCAAGUAUCUCGGAUCUUCCUCACCACCCACAUCUAUACCUUCUCUUUCUCUCUCAUUACAAAAUAGGCAACUAAAACAAAACAAACCAAAGCAAACAAACCAGAAUAGAACUAUAACAAACAGAAAAAAAAAAAGAGUCAAGGUUAAAACACAUACAGAUGUAGAGGCACACAAACUCCCAUACACAAAAAUCUCAUAAAAACACAAAGUCAGAAACCAUAAUAUAUAAGCAAAGACCUGUAAAUGGGAGGAGGAAAACCUGAAUGAAGCAUUAUGCGACAAAAAAAAUCUCCAAAAAUACCAUGGAGUUCAUUUUGUUGUGGCCAUAUACUACUGGGCAUGGGGCCUGCCCUUAAGUGUGGUUUGAAUACCCAGCGAGACUGUUGGAGAAAAAGAAAUUUUCCUUUGUCAGGUGUUGUCAAUUGAAGAUAGCCUCUAGGCUAUGGAUGGGGGGUUGUUAUUCACCCCCUCUUCUCAGCCCUAACCUGUCUUAGGUGGCCCUGUGCAUGUUGCCUCUGUCAGUCCUGUUGUAUCUAGAAGGCCUCAUUUUCUUGGUGUCCUCCAUCCCUACUGACUUGUACAGUCUUUCCACAAUGUUCCCUGAGCCCUGAGGAAAGGAAUUUGAUGGAGAUACCUCAUUUAAGACGAUGUCCCAAGGUCUCUCUCUCUCUGCGCAUUGUCCAGUUGUGUGUCUCUGUAUUUGUUUCUGUCUACUUUAGGAGAAAGCUUCUUUGAUGAUAGCUGAACAAGACACUGCUCUAUGAGUUCAGGAGAGUGUUAUUAAAAACUUACUUAGCUGCUGUGUUCCUUUAACAGAAUAGUAGUAGUUAGUUUCCCCCUAGGUCUGUGAUCUGUCUAAUUUCAGGUUCUUGGCUGCCUAGCAGUGUCAGACAUGGGUUCCUUCUCAAGGUGCGGGCCUUGAUUCCAGUCAGAUAUGGGCUGGUCACUCCCACAGCGUUUGUGCCACUACUGCACGAGUGAUCAUUGUAGGCAGGUCACCAUUGUAGAUGAAAGGGGUUGUCUUUCUCUUGUAUUAACAUGUCCAGUACCAUGGACAUUAGCCCACACAAAAACUAGUCCAUGGGGAUUCUAGUCACUCUAGGUAGGCUCUAGGCAGGCCCCAGCCCAACUUCUCCAUGUUUAGUUAUGUACGUGUUGUCUUUACCAUCAGUUUGUAGAGAGUAACAAGUAGCCUUGGCAAUGUCUGGGUUUGGGACAGGAGCCCUCACAGCAGUAGAUUAAGUGGCUAGUCUGGUGUGCAGUACAGGGUGGUGUAGUUAAAUUAAGACUUCCCUUGGCUAAUUCCUGCCUGUAUGACCUUCAAUAAAUAGUCUUAGUUCUUGGUUUUCCCAUUUUAUAAAUGACAGGGUAUCUCUGGGUUAGUAAGGCACAUAUGUAAAGAGCUUGGGGUCUUAGGAUUUUACUGCCAUGAACAGAUACUGUGACCAAGACAACUCUUAAAAGGACAUUUAAUUGGGACCGGCUUACAGGUUCAGAGGUUCAGUCCAUUAUCAUAAAGGUGAAAACAUGGCAGCAUCCAGGCAGGCAUGAUACAAGAAGAACUGAGAGUUCUACAUCUUCAUCUGAAGGCUGCUAGCAGAAUACUGACAUCUAGGUAGCUAGGAUGAGGGUCUUAAAGCUCAUGCCCACAGUGACAUAUCUAUUCCAAUAAGGCCACACCUCCUAAUAGUGCCACUCCCUGGGCCAGGCAUAUUCAAACUGGGACACUUGGGCAGCCAAAUUGGAAACACUAACUACAUGUUCUGGGUCAGCAGUAGCAAUAACGUUAGUGAUUGUAGAACGCCAACCGUAGCAUGUAGUUGUAGCUGGGAGCAUGGCUCCAGAUCCUGCUGCCAGGAAUUGACCACCACUCUGAUCCUUUAGUGUUGAUGGCUUUGGGCAGGUGAGAGCCCUCCCCACCCCUACCCCAGGCCAUGUCCGCCUUGGUGUUGUUUCACAUAAGUUACAUCUGCUUCACACCCUCCUGAGUAUCCAUGCUGGAUGCUGUGACUAUUCUCAGAAACUGCAGGCAGAUUUAAAACACAGAGCUCCCUUCACACCCUGAAAUAUGUGUUCUAACAGCCAGUUAAGGUGGUGGGUAGGGGCAUAGAUCACCUCACUGCUGGGAAGGAAGUUCUGAUACUUGAGCCUCCAUCUGUGGCUCUCCACACACACGGGUAUUUUGGGACCAUUUCAGUGACAUCUAUAAACCGGAAGCAACUGCCACACAUCCCCCAUAGCGUUGUUUUGAGAACCAAGUUGAGUGGAUGGUGACACCUACCACAGUAUAAGUGUAGAAAGCCUGGCAUCCAGUAGGAUGGUUUUUAGUACUUUUAAUCUUUAAUUCAGUUGCUUUUAAAAUCUUUUGAGGGUAUAGAUUUCAGAGUAGCGGGUUUCUGGAACAGAGAGACUGGGUCUGUUGUAGAAGAUAGCAUGAACACACAAUAUAGCUCCCACCCCUAAGCAGUUGCUACAGCCUAUAAAGGAAAAGUGAAAUAUGACCACUGCCAUAGUGUAAGGCAGGAAAUAUUAGAAAAUUAUCACAUGUAAUGCAAUUUGAGAGGGUGCUGGGUGCUUUCUAGAAGAUGCUGGCAUUCCAGUAUGGAGAAGUGGGGGUAUGCAGAGGGGGACAGAGAGUGUGUGGAGGAAGGCGUGAUCGGGACAUAUCUUAGGGUUCUUCUGCUGUGGUAAACACCAUGACCGGAAGCAACUUGGGAAGCAAAGGGUUUGUUUCGCCUUACAGCUUACAGUUGGCAUGAAGGGAAGUCUGGGCAGGACCUGGAAGCAGGAACUGAAGAUGAGACCAUGGAGGAGUGCUGCUCAGUUUCCUUAGUAGAGCCCAGGACCUCCUGUCCAGGGGGCAUCAGCCACAGUUAUCACUGUGAGGCUGAGCCCUCUCACAUCAGUCAUCAGUCAAGAAGAUGCCCCACAGGCUGAUCUACAGGCCAGUUUAUCUGAUGGCAGCAUUUUCUCAGUGGAGGGUCCCUCUUCCCAGAUGACUGUAACUUGUAUC